CGUUCGAACCCUAGUCGCAAGAUAUUUUACAAGUAGCACCAUUUUCUAUUGCCAAUUUACGCAGUUGUCUCAACGUAGAAUUUAGUAUUGUUGCAAUUGAGCCACUCUUCAAUUUCGUUUCUUUUCAUUUCGGUGAUGGUAAUAUUUCGAGAUGUUUCGCUUAAGUGCUUCGUUGCUUCGAUUGCCGAUGUUGGAAGCAAUAUAUUUGCCGAAGUUUCUCGAAUUGUACGCACGUGUAUAAUUGAAUUGCAUUUACAUACGGAUAUAUGUACGAAAAUGCAUAAGACAUCCUUAAUUUUGUAGAAGGGUUGCUUUAAUGCCACUUCUGACGCUUAUAGGCAAAAGGUUUUCGACAACUUUGAUGCGUAAUUGGUAUAUUUAUUUUUAAUUUUUUUAAAUUCUCCAAAAGUGCUUCACUGUCACUCGUGUCUUUCUCGUCGUCUUGCAAAAAAGGAAAGAAAACUAGAUGCAGUCAAAAGUCUCGAGGUCACUCUUCAUGCCGACCGGGCUCUCCAACUCGGGCCGGGAUUUCGUGUUACGAUGCAAUGUUUGAGUGCCAAGGAGGCUUACAAGUGGUAGUAGCUAAAACUAAUUCUUAGAUAGACGUGGAAUUUGGUAUAGCAUACCGAUACAAUAUUACAAUAUUGUCAUAAUUUACUAAACUUUUACAAUGGUUUAAAAAAAUUUUUGGUGCCUUCCACACUGAAAGAGUACUAAAACAGUACAACCUUGCUUGCUAUGUUUAUGUGGUGUAGUAAGCAAACAGCUGUUGUUUGUUUACAUUUGCUUCUCGUGAAAAUUCUGUUUUGUUUUGUGCUUAUACCGUCUGGCAAAUCUAGCUGCUUAUAAAACCGGAUCCUUUGCCAAAUAUUCAGCUAAAAGCGAAGCGUGUGCGCAUCAAUCCCACCAAGAAAUGGACCAUAGUAGACGAAAAGGCGCUCAUUGAGUUUUUGAUGGCGAAUGGAGAUUUCGAGAAGCCAACUGAUCAAAACUACUACAGGCGGUUUUCGUUGGAAAUGAAAUUGGAGGUUGAGUGGAAGCUGGCACGAGCGAAAGUACGAAACAUGCGCGACAGCUACAAUAAAGCCGAAGGUUGGGAAGGAUCAACCGGCGCCGGCAGCAUGGAUGGCGACACUUUUCGAACCAUUUUACUUAAAAAGUACACAUUUUUACGAGCUUGACGACAUUUUUGGCAACAGGCUCGUUGAAGCGGCUGUCAUUGAAGACAGUUUGGACUCCGUAUGUGAAGAUAUUUUCAAUUCAACAGAGCUCCUGUUCGAAGAAACCACAAUGUCGCCAACAAAUGUAACUAUUGAAACCGAAAACACAGCUUCCACAAGCUGUAAAGGGAUUUAUUCUCGAACUGCACUUACAGAUAUAGGUAAUUGAAAUGCAAGCAGACAUGUUAACUGUGAGGAAGCAGAAAGCUGACCAAGACUUUAGGUUGAGAGAAGAAGAGUUAAGUUAAAAGAAAAAAAUGAAUUAGCAUUGAAGGAAAAAGAAAUGGAAUCAAGAGAAAAGGAGAUGAAGAGUAAUGAAAGGCUAAAAAUUAGAGAGCUGGAAAUGGAGGAGAGACUGGCAAUGGAGGACCUUAACCGAAAAGAUAAAUAAUAAAAAACCACUCACCUACGUACAUACAUACAUAUGUGUGUAGGUACGUAC